rnacentral:rRNA from 1 species
AUUGAACGCUGGCGGCAUGCCUUACACAUGCAAGUCGAACGGCAGCACGGGAGCAAUCCUGGUGGCGAGUGGCGAACGGGUGAGUAAGUAUCGGAACGUGCCCAGUCGUGGGGGAUAACGUAGCGAAAGUUACGCUAAUACCGCAUACGAUCUAUGGAUGAAAGCGGGGGAUCGCAAGACCUCGCGCGGUUGGAGCGGCCGAUAUCAGAUUAGGUAGUUGGUGGGGUAAAGGCUCACCAAGCCGACGAUCUGUAGCUGGUCUGAGAGGACGACCAGCCACACUGGGACUGAGACACGGCCCAGACUCCUACGGGAGGCAGCAGUGGGGAAUUUUGGACAAUGGGCGAAAGCCUGGUCCAGCCAUGCCGCGUGCAGGAUGAAGGCCUUCGGGUUGUAAACUGCUUUUGUACGGGACGAAAAGGUUUGGCCUAAUAAGCUGAGCUCAUGACGGUACCGUAAGAAUAAGCACCGGCUAACUACGUGCCAGCAGCCGCGGUAA